CACCCCGUCUGUGCUUCCCAGGGACAGUGGAGGCCAGGACGCUGAGGAAGGAGGACCAGCAUCCUAUGAACAGCCAGGGUCCAGCCAAGGCCCACCCACCACAUUGGAGGUAAUAGACCAGGGCGGAGUCCAAACAAGCUGGCUGGCUGUCCUGUCCCCUGCACAUGUCCCUGGAGUGCAUCAAGCCAUCACCUUUCCUGUUCCACCUCAUCUCGUGACCUACUUCUGGUGAACACUAAACAUGCCUUUUGCAGGUAUGCAGCACACAACAUCCAUGACUGUUGAUGGUGACCUUGGCUACAGCCUAUAUCCCUGGCAUCUGGAGAUGGCUGAAUAUCUCUGCCACUCACGGGGCAAAGCCAAAAAGGAAUACUAUUCAGCCCUGAAGAAGACCAAGGUGCUCUGACUUCCUGUCUUCAUCCUAGAAAGACUGAGGUACCAGCGGUUGCUCAGUCCACGCAGUCUUAGUCCGGCACUGAAGGCCUGAAGUUCCCUGGAGGGUCACUGCUACCAAGUCUACCUUAAUGUGCCCAGGAAGCUGGAGUCUGAGGUCAGUGGACAAUGGCUGCAGCCACAGACAGAUGUUUCAGAGAGUAGCUUGGACAAGUGUGCACUGUUUUUCUCUGACUCCUUCCUUACCCGGGCACUAGCCUGUUCGAAAUAUUGAGAACGUCUUUUCUCCAUCUGUCAAUCUUCUCCGAGAAAUGCCCCCUCUCACAAGACUGAUGACCCAGCCUUACGACAAGGGGACAACCAAGACCAAUCAUUACAUUCACUAAGACUGACACCAGAGAGGCCAAGAUGGAGCCAGUGUUUCAGACCCCAAGGAAGACAAAGCCACAGACAGCCUUUGAGUGUGGCUGAGCAGAUGUUUGAUUCUGGGCCAACACACAAUAGGCUCCUCCUACAACCUGCAUCACAAUUUGAGCUUCCCCAGCUCUGUCCUGUUUCCUGUAUCUUGGAUGCUAGUUUCCCUUUGGGCCUCUGUCUUCAUCUCUUGAAGGUCUUUCUAAGCUCCCAAGAUCCUUUGUGCUGGAGCAUGGUACCCCCCCCUCCCAUCAACCUAUCUUCUCACCUCAGCCCGAAGCCUCCACGACUAAUUUUUGUCUCAUUUUAAGAUCAUAUUUCUUUGAGGUUUGCCGUGAACACAAGACAGCCUUCUGCAAUUUACCUCCAUUUCCUGUGGUAAAUCUUUUUCAAGAAUGUGUUUUUGCUCCGGGGGAGGGAGCCUCCCCCCUCUUCACUGCAGGAUGUGGCCUGCCAUGUUAGAGAGGUCAUUUUUAGGGCUCUUCCUGUGAGGAAGAGAUGUCUGUUUGGGCCUAGAGUGUGUGUGGGAGAUGCUGUUUGGGUCCCUCUUGGCCAACCUGGUUGCUAUUAGACCCUCAUUUCAGAUGGCGAAGCAGAGGUCUUGGCUGUGAACAUGAAGGCCGGAGCCAAGUCCCCAGCUUCUGGCAGCCAUUUUCUUGGAGGGCUGAGCUGGCUCUAGAGACUUCUUCUACUUCUGCUGCAGCCUGACAAUCCAAAGGGAAAUUUAUUCACAGAUAAUUUGAAACAGUCUCAAGCCCUCCCGACGCCAGAGAGUUAGAGCAGAAAACCUACAGGCCCCAGAGGGUAGCAGUCCACAGCUAUUCCUGCCUUGUCCCUUCCUUUCUUCCAAGUUGAUGUCCCCAGAGAGCCCCAGCUCCCUGUCUGUCACUGCAUCCCUAGGCUGGGGUCAUGGAGAUGGAGGGGCCCAGAUGAGAUGGGACUUAUCUGUGCUGCCUCUGAACAAUGGUAAGACCUAUGAUAGAUUGGUUAUAUAUUUAUUUGUGUGUGUGUG